rnacentral:rRNA from 1 species
GUAGGUGGCAAGCGUUGUCCGGAAUUAUUGGGCGUAAAGCGCGCGCAGGCGGUUUCUUAAGUCUGAUGUGAAAGCCCACGGCUCAACCGUGGAGGGUCAUUGGAAACUGGGGAACUUGAGUGCAGAAGAGGAAAGUGGAAUUCCACGUGUAGCGGUGAAAUGCGUAGAGAUGUGGAGGAACACCAGUGGCGAAGGCGACUUUCUGGUCUGUAACUGACGCUGAGGCGCGAAAGCGUGGGGAGCAAACAGGAUUAGAUACCCUGGUAGUCCACCCCGUAAACGAUGAGUGCUAAGUGUUAGAGGGUUUUCCGCCCCUUUAGUGCUGCAGCUAACGCAUUAAGCACUCCGCCCUGGGUAGUACGGUCGCAAGACUG